rnacentral:rRNA from 1 species
CAUACCUAUUUGUUGCCUCGGCGGUGCCUGUUCCGACAGCCCGCCAGAGGACCCCAAACCCUGAUUACAUUUAAGAAGUCUUCUGAGUAAACCGAUUAAAUAAAUCAAAACUUUCAACAACGGAUCUCUUGGUUCUGGCAUCGAUGAAGAACGCAGCGAAAUGCGAUAAGUAAUGUGAAUUGCAGAAUUCAGUGAAUCAUCGAAUCUUUGAACGCACAUUGCGCCCGCUAGUAUUCUGGCGGGCAUGCCUGUCCGAGCGUCAUUUCAACCCUCAAGCCCCCGGGCUUGGUGUUGGGGAUCGGCGAGCCUCCGCGCCCGCCGUCCCCUAAAUCUAGUGGCGGUCUCGCUGUAGCUUCCUCUGCGUAGUAGCACACCUCGCACUGGGAAACAGCGCGGCCACGCCGUUAAACCCCCAACUUCUGAACGUUUGACCUCGGAUCAGGUAGGAAUACCCGCUGAACUUAAGCAUAUCAAUA